rnacentral:misc_RNA from 1 species
AUUCAAAGAGGUGUGGAGCCUGAUGUGGUCACCUACACCUCCUUAAUUUGUGGUCUAUGCAUUUCAGACCUAUGGAAGGAAGCUAUGGCCUUGUUGAAAGAAAUGGUGGGGAAGAACAUAUCCCCCAAUGUUUUUACCUUCAAUAUAUUGAUAGACACUCUUUGUAAGAAUGGAAAAGUUUCAUAUGCUCAAAGGAUAAUCAAGAUAAUGAUUCAAAGAGGAGUUGAACCUGAUGUUGUCAUUUACAAUUCAGUGAUGGAUGGAUAUUGUCUACGCAACCAAAUUGAUAAAGCAAGAAAGGUAUUUGAGCUGAUGGUAACCAAUGAAAUAUUUGAUGUUUUUAGUUACAACUUCUUGAUUAAUGGAUACUGCAAGUGCAAAAGGAUAGAUGAAGCAAAGGAACUUUUUGAUGAAAUGCCUCAAAAAGUUUUAGUUCCUGACACUGUCACUUAUAAUAUAAUAACCUUCGCAACUUUGCUUUAUGGCUUGUGCAAAGAGGGGGAUCUUGAUGAGGUGCUCACACUAUUUAAAGCGAUGGAGAAGAGUUAGUUGAAGCCUAAUCAUGUGAUUUAUAACAUUCUAAUCGGUGGUAUGUGCAAAGUGAGAAAGCUUAGCGAUGCUAAAGAACUGUUUUCUAGGCUUUUUGAAAAUGGUUUACAACCUGAUGUUUAGACAUAUAGUGCAAUUUUAAAAGGACUCUGCAAAGAAGGAUUACUAGAUAAUGCAACAAAGUUUUUAGAGACAUGGAAGAGGGUGGAUGUUUACCGGAUGGCUACUGUUAUAAUGUGAUUAUUCAAGGAUUUCUCGGGCAUAAGGAUGUAGCAAAGGCAA